rnacentral:rRNA from 1 species
UACGAAGGGGGCUAGCGUUGCUCGGAAUCACUGGGCGUAAAGCGCACGUAGGCGGCUUCUUAAGUCAGGGGUGAAAUCCUGGAGCUCAACUCCAGAACUGCCUUCGAUACUGGCGAUCUUGGAGUCCGGGAGAGGUGAGUGGAACUCCGAGUGUAGAGGUGAAAUUCGUAGAUAUUCGGAAGAACACCAGUGGCGAAGGCGGCUCACUGGCCCGGUACUGACGCUGAGGUGCGAAAGCGUGGGGAGCAAACAGG